GUCCAGAUGGGUCGUGGAGGCCAUAGAGGACAUGGGCCUUCAGGGAGUCUGGAACCACAACCUGGUGAACCUCAUGUUCAUUUGUCUUUCUUUCUUCACCUUGUACAACAUGCCAUCCUGUAUGGAGAGCAUGGGCCUUUGUCUCAACAGUUUCAUCACCGCACCAGACUCACAAGCAGGCUCACGCAAACAGGGCCUCCCUCGAUGCUGGACGUUAAAAAAGACUCUGCCGAAGAUAUCAUCCUGCUCUUACAGAUUAACCAGUUCACUCCUUGCCUUGUAGAACCCUGAUGUGCGGUCCAUUGUGGAGAAGAACACAUUGCCACCAUGCCGCAAGAGUGUCUGGUUGAUGAGGCAACAGAUGUGCAUCCUUCAAUGUUCUUGCGUUUAACCCCUGAAGCCAUUGCAGACACAAAGAUCAGUCGGCUUGACAACCAGGACGAUGGAAGAUGAAUACUCGCUUUGAGAUUCACAAAUGAUCCCCAAUCCCUCCAUUUCAUACAGCGCUGUCCGAAGCUUGUCCUCCACUGAGUGGAUUCUGUGGAGAAAAUCUGUCACCCCACCACAGUCCAUUUUGUACUUUGUAAAGGUGGACUCAUACUGCUCCAUGAGCCGCAGCAGCUUAUCCUUCCACUCGAGGGAAACUUCCCGAGACGAGAGGUCCACAUCCUGCAGGCUCAUGAGUGAGGAUGCGCGAUAUCUCCUCUUCCGACCCUGGUGUAGGUGGUGAGCUCUGUGUGUAUUGCAGACUGGAUUGGAUGUGCUCUGGUUCUGGUAAGUCUUGCACAGAAAGACAGGGGGACACAUCUGCAUUUACAUGUGUAUUCAUAAGCUGUGAUCAAGAAUCAAUUGUCCAUAGCCUAACUAAUAUAAUGAUGUUACAUACCAUAUUAAACAGCCGAGGCGGGGCUACAAGAAUAUGUAAGCCGUUUGCACAUACUCCCAAUACAACUUAACCACCAAAGUUAUGAAUGACCAUAUAUCAAUAUUAAUAUCUGGCAAAAGGUCCGACCAAGUAGCUUUGAGGCUUGUGAUGUUGUUUGCUUCAUGCUACAGGUGAACGGUUUAGCUUUCCAUAAAGCCUCUACAACCAACAGAUUCACAAGAUAUCUUUCCAUUUCUUCUCAGACAAGAGCGCCAGCAAAACACCCAGCACAGCCAUCCAUCCCAAAAUAUUUGUUCACAGCGAUUGUAGAGAAAUAUGACUUAAGUUUGAAGAUAAACGGUACUUAUCUCCGUCUCUGGUUAUAUUUCGAUCGCAAAAUUGUGAUGCACUCCCUUUGUGAUGCAGAGAAGUGUACCUGACUGGUUUCCUGUCACAUUAUCCACAUGAGUUGGGUUAGUUUUAGCGAUUCGGAUCCUACGCAUCACAAAAUAUGGAGCCUUUCUAAUUCUGGUUGGCUAACAGUGCUGUUAAUCUCAUUUGGAUUGCUAUAUAGACAUAUCCCAAAGGCCCUCAUGAUUGUGACGGCCAAGAAAAUAACCAAAUUAUGGAAAACUAUGAUUUUUGCACACAUUUUGCACGAUUAUUUGAGUGUACAGAACAUUAUUUUGAUUUAUUUAGUGAAUGUUGCGGCUGUAUUUCGAUGUAUUGAACACCAUUUGUAAUAGAAAAGUGAAAUAAAUAACGUGUUACAUGAGAAAAUCUAA